rnacentral:rRNA from 1 species
CGGACGGGUGAGUAACGCGUGAGAAUCUGGCUUCAGGUCUGGGACAACCACUGGAAACGGUGGCUAAUACCGGAUGUGCCGAGAGGUGAAAGGUUAACUGCCUGAAGAUGAGCUCGCGUCUGAUUAGCUAGUUGGAAGUGUAAUGGACUCCCAAGGCGACGAUCAGUAGCUGGUCUGAGAGGACGAUCAGCCACACUGGGACUGAGACACGGCCCAGACUCCUGCGGGAGGCAGCAGUGGGGAAUUUUCCGCAAUGGGCGAAAGCCUGACGGAGCAAUACCGCGUGAGGGAGGAAGGCUCUUGGGUCGUAAACCUCUUUUCUCAGGGAAGAACAAAAUGACGGUACCUGAGGAAUAAGCAUCGGCUAACUCCGUGCCAGCAGCCGCGGUAAUACGGAGGAUGCAAGCGUUAUCCGGAAUGAUUGGGCGUAAAGCGUCCGCAGGUGGCUAUGUAAGUCUGCUGUUAAAGAGUCUAGCUCAACUAGAUAAGAGCAGUGGAAACUACAAGGCUAGAGUACGUUCGGGGCAGAGGGAAUUCCUGGUGUAGCGGUGAAAUGCGUAGAGAUCAGGAAGAACACCGGUGGCGAAGGCGCUCUGCUAGGCCGUAACUGACACUGAGGGACGAAAGCUAGGGGAGCGAAUGGGAUUAGAUACCCCAGUAGUC